AUUCUGCAGUCUCCAUGUAGAAUUGCUUACUCCGCAUCUGUAUUGCACAUAUUAUCUGCGACGUCCCUUCACCGACUACAGCUGUUAGAGGAUCGGAGUU
rnacentral:lncRNA from 1 species